rnacentral:rRNA from 1 species
AAUAUUGGGCAAUGGGCGAAAGCCUGACCCAGCAACGCCGCGUGAGGGAAGUAGGUAAUCGGCUUGUCCGCCUCUGUCCUUGGGGACGCAGCACGUGACGGUACCCACGGAGGAAGCCACGGCUACCUACGUGCCAGCAGCCGCGGUAAUACGUAGGUGGCAAGCGUUGUCCGGCAUGACUGGGCGUAAAGGGCGUGUAGGUGGACUGAUCAGUCGGGUGUGAAAUAUCCGGGCUUAACCCGGGGGGUGCAUCCGAUACGGUUAGUCUUGAGUGCAGGAGAGGGCAGUGGAAUUCCCAGUGUAGCGGUGAAAUGCGUAGAUAUUGGGAGGAACACCAGUGGCGAAGGCGGCUGCCUGGACUGUAACUGACACUGAGGCGCGAAAGCGUGGGGAGCAAACAGG